CACGUAGGGCGCAAGCGUUGUCCGGAAUUAUUGGGCGUAAAGAGCUCGUAGGCGGUCUGUUACGUCUGCUGUGAAAACCCGGGGCUUAACCCUGGGCUUGCAGUGGAUACGGGCAGACUAGAGGCAGGUAGGGGAGAAUGGAAUUCCCGGUGUAGCGGUGAAAUGCGCAGAUAUCGGGAGGAACGACCGGUGGCGAAGGCGGUUCUCUGGGCCUGACCUGACGCUGAGGAGCGAAAGCGUGGGGAGCGAACAGG
rnacentral:rRNA from 1 species